rnacentral:rRNA from 1 species
CCCUAUUAUUAACGGAUAAAAAGAAAUUAGAGAGUAGGGAGGCUGAAAACCAUCUAGAAUGGCGGUUUUUUUUAUUCUCAGAUAAAUGUGUUUUGAAAACGAAAGUGCACGAACAUCUUUCUUACUCUUGAAAAUCCAUCUUGUACACCGCCGUCUGAAGGAUCAACUUAGAUAGUUAAUCCUAUUUCUCUUUCAGAAAUAAGUCAGGUAAGGUGCAGAUAAUGGGCAAGAAAAAAUGCAUUUCACUAAAAUGGCAAAGACCGUUUGAAACAAUAAAUCUAAGACGAAUUUGAAAGUAAGAUUUUUUCAUAAAAAUAAUCUGAAAUUAUACCAAAAAAAUGUACACAUCGCCCGUCGCUC